ACGAGUGGCGGACGGGUGAGUAACGCGUAGGAAUAUGCCCAGUAGCGGGGGAUAGCCCGGGGAAACUCGGAUUAAUACCGCAUACGCCCUACGGGGGAAAGCGGGGGAUCUUCGGACCUCGCACUAUUGGAGUAGCCUGCGUUGGAUUAGCUUGUUGGUGGGGUAAAGGCCUACCAAGGCGACGAUCCAUAGCUGAUCUGAGAGGACGAUCAGCCACACUGGGACUGAGACACGGCCCAG
rnacentral:rRNA from 1 species